rnacentral:rRNA from 1 species
AAGGUUGACCUCGGAUCAGGUAGGGAUACCCGCUGAACUUAAGCAUAUCAAUAAG